rnacentral:lncRNA from 1 species
CUCAGCCGUAAUAAGUACAGGAAGAGAGGGGACACUAUAGGUGGAAUCAUUCACAUGACAAUGGGGCAUCAAGGAAGCCAUGAGCCGGGUAUUACCUAACCAGAGCCGGAGAGAACCAAGAAGUGCUACAGAGACUAGACCUCCAGGAUAGACUCUGGAUAUACAGGUCUCUGCACACCAUAAUGCCUUCUUUAAACACUGAGGAAGCUGCAGCACUACAGCAUCAUCACCAGUGCUCUACAAGGACAGCAGAAGCUCCCUCCCCACCUGCAUGACUCCAAAUAGCUUGUGGAUAAACAAGUCAACUUGUGCCUGCCUAAGUCACCAUCUGGCACUCUGCAUCAAUACUGGGCCCAUAUGAGUGCCAUGAGCCCACCUGAGUCACUGCUGCUGCAUGGCUCAAGUAUACCUCACGGCCUCCAGGAUUCUCCAUCUGGCACCCAGCACUGAUAUGGGACCUGCUUGAGUCAGUGCCUGGCUCCCCAGGCUUGCUUGAGUCUCCUGAUCUUUUACACGCAGUAGGACUUGUUUCAUAAAGUUGGGUGCACUUUUGUUUGGCGCAUAUAUGUUAAUAAUUCUCUCUUCUUGUUGAAUUAUUCCCUUGUUGAAUAAACCAAUAUGUAGUGACCUUUUUUGCCUCUUCUAU